rnacentral:rRNA from 1 species
UACGUAGGGGGCAAGCGUUGUCCGGAUUUAUUGGGCGUAAAGAGCGUGUAGGCGGUUUGGUAGGUCCGUUGUGAAAACUCGAGGCUCAACCUCGAGACGCCGAUGGAAACCAUAAGACUAGAGUCCGGAAGAGGAGAGUGGAAUUCCUGGUGUAGCGGUGAAAUGCGCAGAUAUCAGGAAGAACACCCGUGGCUAAGGCGGCUCUCUAGUACGGUACUGACGCUGAGACGCGAAAGCGUGGGGAGCGAACAGG